GACCGAGGUCCCAAGCGUUAGGCGGAAUCACUGGGCUUAAAGCGUGUGUAGGCGGGCCUUCAAGUACCUUGUGAAAUCCCACGGCUUAACCGUGGAACUGCUUGGUAUACUGCUGGUCUUGAGGCAUCUAGAGGCAACUGGAACAAACGGUGGAGCGGUGAAAUGCGUAGAUAUCGUUUGGAACGCCCAGGGUGAAAACAGACGACUGGGAGUGCGCUGACGCUGAGACACGAAAGCCAGGGGAGCGAACGGG
rnacentral:rRNA from 1 species